GUGCGUAGUCGUGAAAAGAAAGAGCA
rnacentral:piRNA from 1 species